rnacentral:tRNA from 1 species
UUGAAUUGCAAAUUCAAAGAAGCAGCUUAACGCUGCCGGGGCUUC